rnacentral:rRNA from 1 species
CCUACGGGGGGCAGCAGUGAGGAAUAUUGGUCAAUGGACGAGAGUCUGAACCAGCCAAGUAGCGUGAAGGAUGACUGCCCUAUGGGUUGUAAACUUCUUUUAUAAAGGAAUAAAACGAGGCACGUGUGCAUUUUUGCAUGUCCUUUAUGAAUAAGGAUCGGCUAAGUCCGUGCCAGCAGCCGCGGUAAUACGGAGGAACCGAGCGUUAUCCGGAUUUAUUGGGUUUAAAGGGAGCGUAGAUGGGUUGUUAAGUCAGUUGUGAAAGUUUGCGGCUCAACCGUAAAAUUGCAAUUGAUACUGGCAGUCUUGAGUACGGGUGAGGUAGGCGGAAUUCGUGGUGUAGCGGUGAAAUGCUUAGAUAUCACGAAGAACCCCGAUUGCGAAGGCAGCUUACUAAACUGUGACUGACAUUGAUGCGCGAAAGUGUGGGUAUCAAACAGGAUUAGAUACCCUUGUAGUC